CAGUUCUCGUUCGAUCGCCGAAGUUAAGCACCAUCGGGCGCGGUCAGUACUUGGGAGGAAGACCACCUGGGAACACCGCGUGCUGU